CCUACGGUGAGCAGCAGUGGGGAAUAUUGGACAAUGGGGGGAACCCUGAUCCAGCGACGCCGCGUGAGUGAAGAAGUAUUUCGGUAUGUAAAGCUCUAUCAGCAGGGAAGAAAGAAAUGACGGUACCUGACUAAGAAGCCCCGGCUAACUACGUGCCAGCAGCCGCGGUAAUACGUAGGGGGCAAGCGUUAUCCGGAUUUACUGGGUGUAAAGGGAGCGUAGACGGCGAUGCAAGUCUGAAGUGAAAGGCGGGGGCCCAACCCCUGGACUGCUUUGGAAACUGUAUGGCUGGAGUGCAGGAGAGGUAAGUGGAAUUCCUAGUGUAGCGGUGAAAUGCGUAGAUAUUAGGAGGAACACCAGUGGCGAAGGCGGCUUACUGGACUGUAACUGACGUUGAGGCUCGAAAGCGUGGGGAGCAAACAGGAUUAGAUACCCGAGUAGUC
rnacentral:rRNA from 1 species